rnacentral:rRNA from 1 species
UACGGAGGGGGCUAGCGUUGUUCGGAAUUACUGGGCGUAAAGCGCACGUAGGCGGACUGUUAAGUCGGGGGUGAAAUCCCGGGGCUCAACCCCGGAACUGCCUUCGAUACUGGCAGUCUAGAGGACGGCAGAGGCUAGUGGAAUGGCGAGUGUAGAGGUGAAAUUCGUAGAUAUUCGCCGGAACACCAGUAGCGAAGGCGACUGGCUGGGGCGUUUCUGACGCUGAGGUGCGAAAGCGUGGGGAGCAAACAGG